rnacentral:rRNA from 1 species
UAGGGAAUCUUCCGCAAUGGACGCAAGUCUGACGGAGCAACGCCGCGUGAGUGAAGAAGGAUUUCGGUUCGUAAAACUCUGUUGUUAGAGAAGAACAGCGCAUAGAGUAACUGUUAUGCGUGUGACGGUAUCUAACCAGAAAGCCACGGCUAAUUACGUGCCAGCAGCCGCGGUAAUACGUAAGGUCCGAGCGUUGUCCGGAAUCAUUGGGCGUAAAGGGUACGUAGGCGGGUAAGCAAGUUAGAAGUGAAAUCCUGUAGCUCAACUACAGUAAGCUUUUAAAACUGCUCAUCUUGAGAUAUGGAAGGGAAAGUGGAAUUCCUAGUGUAGCGGUGAAAUGCGCAGAUAUUAGGAGGAAUACCGGUGGCGAAGGCGACUUUCUGGCCAUAAUCUGACGCUGAGGUACGAAAGCGUGGGUAGCAAACAGG